GACGAACCGUGCGAACGUUGUUCGGAAUCACUGGGCUUAAAGGGCGCGUAGGCGGUCUGCCAAGUCUGGGGUUAAAUCUCUCGGCUCAACCGAGAACCUGCCUGGGAUACUGGCGGACUGGAGGGAAGUAGGGGCGAUCGGAACUUCCAGUGGAGCGGUGAAAUGCGUUGAUAUUGGAAGGAACGCCGGUGGCGAAAGCGGGUCGCUGGACUUCAUCUGACGCUGAGGCGCGAAAGCUAGGGGAGCGAACGGG
rnacentral:rRNA from 1 species